CCUCUAACUUAUCCCCUUCGUGAAGCCACCAUUCCUGGUGCCGAUCUCAUCCGCCCCAUGCCUAGAAAUUUUCGAAAUUCUUCCACGUACUCAAUUUUUGGAACCUCCCGUACGUCCUCAUCACCUGCACAAGCCGACGCUCGUUCUCAUCCUCUAGCCGCCGCCCUUGCUUUCCAUGGCGGCGCUUCCAGCUCCUGGCAACAGCACCGCCCGCCCUCCCUGCUCGCGGUUCCUAUUCCCUGGCGCUCGCCCUUGCCCCAGCCAUGGACGCUGUCAGCCUCGACUUCCUCUGGCCGCGGCAUCCGUCUUGUUCCCCGCUCCAUCCAUUUCUCCCUCCUAUGGCGCACUCCUUCCCCUGGUCGCCCAAGGCCACGUCCUUUGCUCCUCCCCAUAGCGUCUCCUUCUCUGGUUGCAGUUAUGAAACAGCAGCUGCCGUUGUCCCUCCCUGGCUCUAGCUCUCCAAGCCGAUGCUGCUCGCUGCCCCCUCUCCAAGCUGACGCCCCAACCAAGGCUGCCUCCCCCACAACAGCACCUUGCCCAUGGCCGAGCUUGUCCCUACAGCGUGGAUGCUAUCGCCCUCCCCACGCUAGCAGCAAGCAGUGCCCUCCCCUUUCUGCAGCAAGUGGAUGCUCCCAGCCCCUCCCUUGUUCCUAUGGCCAUUUCCAGCCAUCUCCCAUGGCCGACCCCAACUCCUCCCAUGGACGCCGUUCCCUCCCUGCUCCAGUUUUCUCCAUGGUUGCGGCCUUGUGGAACCACGCAACCUCUGCUGCUCCCAUGGUGAUCUCUAAAUACCUUUGUUGUUUUACUAGUUCUUUGUUAAUACCCCGCUGAUGUGAUGUUUUAUGUGUGUUGAUGUGUGCGAUAUGGAGUAAAAUCCUUGGAGAAUUAGGUGGAGAAUAAGGUUAAGUUUAACGCUCCUUAGGUGUUCGAUGAUAUGCUCGAACUGGUGGUCGUCUUCGUUCUUGCUGAAAUCGAGUCGGAGCAUGAUGUGGUUCGUUAAUUGAUCACAUGAUGCGGACGACAAGAACCGAGUUGAUCCCAAAAUGAUGCUGGUGAACGAACCCGAAGCUUGGAUGAUCUGGUCAAAUACCAGGAUGAGAGAUGCUCCCCAAGCGGACGUCAUCUAACAACACUGACUUAGUGUUAU